UUUUAUCGUACGGUGAUUAUG
ensembl:piRNA 21ur-12669 ncRNA